rnacentral:antisense_RNA from 1 species
UUUCAACGAGCCCAGCCACAAGGGCUGCCGGGCGGGGCGGCCCUGCCCGUAGGUCGCGAGCAGCGCCUGGGCCUC